AUUGAACGCUGGCGGCAUGCCUUACACAUGCAAGUCGAACGGUAACAGGUCUUCGGAUGCUGACGAGUGGCGAACGGGUGAGUAAUACAUCGGAACGUGCCUAGUAGUGGGGGAUAACUACUCGAAAGAGUGGCUAAUACCGCAUGAGAUCUACGGACGAAAGCAGGGGAUCGCAAGACCUUGUGCUAAUAGAGCGGCCGAUGGCAGAUUAGGUAGUUGGUGGGAAAAAAGCUUACCAAGCCGACGAUCUGUAGCUGGUCUGAGAGGACGAUCAGCCACACUGGGACUGAGACACGGCCCAGACUCCUACGGGAGGCAGCAGUGGGGAAUUUUGGACAAUGGGCGAAAGCCUGAUCCAGCAAUGCCGCGUGCAGGAUGAAGGCCUUCGGGUUGUAAACUGCUUUUGUACGGAACGAAAAGCCCUGGGUUAAUACCCUGGGGUCAUGACGGUACCGUAAGAAUAAGCACCGGCUAACUACGUGCCAGCCGCCGCCGUAA
rnacentral:rRNA from 1 species